rnacentral:tRNA from 1 species
AGUGUAGCUCAAUGGUAGAGCGCCGGACUGUGGCUCCGGAUGUUGCGGGUUCAAUCCCCGUCAC